CAAGGCUUCAGGACCGGUUCAAGGCA
rnacentral:piRNA from 1 species